GAAGAGAAAGUCGGCGACGGUGA
rnacentral:siRNA from 1 species